rnacentral:rRNA from 1 species
CCUACGGGAGGCAGCAGUGAGGAAUAUUGGACAAUGGGCGCAACUAGAUCCAGCCAUGCCGCGUGCAGGAUAACGGUCCUAUGGAUUGUAAACUGCUUUUGUACGAGAAGAAACACUCCUACGUGUAGGAGCUUGACGGUAUCGUAAGAAUAAGGUCGGCUAACUCCGUGCCAGCAGCCGCGGUAAUACGGAGGAUCCAAGCKUUAUCCGGAAUCAUUGGGUUUAAAGGGUCCGUAGGCGGUUUGGUAAGUCAGUGGUGAAAGCCCAYCGCUCAACGGUGGAASGGCCAUUGAUACUGCCAGACUUGAAUUACUGGGAAGUAACUAGNAUAUGUAGUGUAGCGGUGAAAUGCUUAGAGAUUACAUGGAAUACCAAUUGCGAAGGCAGGUUACUACCAGUUGAUUGACGCUGAUGGACGAAAGCGUGGGUAGCGAACAGGAUUAGAUACCCUGGUAGUCCACGCCGUAAACGAUGGAUACUAGCUGUUGGGGGCAACUUCAGUGGCUAAGCGAAAGUGAUAAGUAUCCCACCUGGGGAGUACGGGCGCAAGCCUGNAACUCAAAGGAAUUGACGGGGGCCCGCACAAGCGGUGGAGCAUGUGGUUUAAUUCGAUGAUACGCGAGGAACCUUACCAAGGCUU